rnacentral:rRNA from 1 species
CCUACGUGUGGCAGCAGUGGGGAAUAUUGCGCAAUGGGCGAAAGCCUGACGCAGCGACGCCGCGUGAGGGAUGAAGGUCUUCGGAUCGUAAACCUCUGUCAGCAGGGAAGAACGGUCACUGUGCUAAUCAGCAGUGAAUUGACGGUACCUGCAAAGGAAGCACCGGCUAACUCCGUGCCAGCAGCCGCGGUAAUACGGAGGGUGCGAGCGUUAAUCGGAAUUACUGGGCGUAAAGCGCUCGUAGGCGGUAUGUCAAGUCAAGGGUGAAAUCCCCGCGCUAAACGUGGGAACUGCCUUUGAAACUGGCAAACUGGAGUGUGUGAGAGGAUAGUGGAAUUCGAGGUGUAGGAGUGAAAUCCGUAGAUAUCUGGAGGAACAUCAGUGGCGAAGGCGACUAUCUGGCACAUAACUGACGCUGAGGAGCGAAAGCGUGGGUAGCAAACAGGAUUAGAUACCCUAGUAGUC